CCUACGGGUGGCAGCAGUGGGGAAUAUUGCACAAUGGGGGAAACCCUGAUGCAGCGACGCCGCGUGAGUGAAGAAGUAUUUCGGUAUGUAAAGCCCUAUCAGCAGGGAAGAAAAUGACGGUACCUGACUAAGAAGCCCCGGCUAACUACGUGCCAGCAGUCGCGGUAAUACGUAGGGGGCAAGCGUUAUCCGGAUUUACUGGGUGUAAAGGGAGCGUAGACGGCAGCGCAAGUCUGGAGUGAAAUGCCGGGGCUUAACCCCGGAACUGCUUUGGAAACUGUGCAGCUAGAGUGCAGGAGGGGUAAGUGGAAUUCCUAGUGUAGCGGUGAAAUGCGUAGAUAUUAGGAGGAACACCAGUGGCGAAGGCGGCUUACUGGACUGUAACUGACGUUGAGGCUCGAAGGCGUGGGGAGCAAACAGGAUUAGAGACCCCAGUAGUC
rnacentral:rRNA from 1 species